rnacentral:rRNA from 1 species
GAAAGCGGCGGACGGGUGAGUAACGCGUGGGCAACCUGCCCCAUACAGAGGGAUAGCCACUGGAAACGGUGAUUAAUACCUCAUACUUCGCACAGGACACAUGUCUUGAGCGACAAAGAUUAAUCGGUAUGGGAUGGGCCCGCGUCUGAUUAGCUAGUUGGUAAGGUAACGGCUUACCAAGGCGACGAUCAGUAGCCGACCUGAGAGGGUGAUCGGCCACACUGGAACUGAGACGCGGUCCAGACUCCUACGGGAGGCAGCAGUGGGGAAUAUUGCACAAUGGGCGCAAGCCUGAUGCAGCAACGCCGUGUGAGUGAAGAAGGCUUUUCGGAUCGUAAAGCUCUGUCCUAAGGAAGAAAAAAAUGACGGUACCUUAGGAGGAAGCCCCGGCUGACUACGUGCCAGCAGCCGCGGUAAUACGUAAGGGGCAAGCGUUGUCCGGAAUCACUGGGCGUAAAGGGUGCGUAGGCGCUUAGCAAGCCAGGGGUGAAAGGCAUUGGCUCAACCAAUGUAAGCCUUUGGAACUGUUAAGCUUGA